UGGGGAAGUUUUCCGCAAUGGGCGAAAGCCUGACGGAGCAAUGCCGCGUGGAGGUGGAAGGCCUACGGGUCGCCAACUUCUUUUCUCGGAGAAGAAACAAUGACGGUAUCUGAGGAAUAAGCAUCGGCUAACUCUGUGCCGG
rnacentral:rRNA from 1 species